CUGCAUCUGACCCACUCUCCUCCUGCUCGGUUCCAGCAAGUCAAGUCGAUCGAGAGGUUCCUGCGCAGGCUGGAGUUCCAUGCCAGCAAGAUCGACGAGCUCUACGAGUCGUACUGCAUCCAGCGGCGGCUCCGCGAUGGGGCCCACAACAUGGUCAAGGCCUACACUGCCGGCUCCCCGGGCAGCCGCGAGGCACGGGACAGCCUGGCCGAGGCCAGCAAGGGCUACAAAGAGUACACCGAGAACAUGUGUCUGCUGGAGAGCGAGCUGGAGAGCCAGCUGGGGGAGUUCCACGUCAAGAUGAAAGG